rnacentral:rRNA from 1 species
UACGGGGGGGGCAAGCGUUGUUCGGAAUUACUGGGCGUAAAGGGCUCGUAUGUGGCCAACUAAGUCAUACGUGAAAUCCCUCGGCUUAACCGGGGAACUGCGUCUGAUACUGGAUGGCUUGAGGUUGGGAGAGGGAUGCGGAAUUCCAGGUGUAGCGGUGAAAUGCGUAGAUAUCUGGAGGAACACCGGUGGCGAAGGCGGCAUCCUGGACCAAUUCUGACACUGAGGAGCGAAAGCCAGGGGAGCAAACGGG